UUGACCAUGGGUUGGAAUAGUUCUGUGGGCAUAGUGUGUCUCCAAAGCCACUAUGUUUUCUGCUGUUAUGACUAUAGAGCACCUUUAUAGCUCAGUUGGUAGAGCGGUGGACUGUAAGAUGCUCCUUGUGUGAAAUGCUGUGAUCCUAAGGUCGCUGGUUCAACUCCAGCUCCAAGCACCUCCUUGUGAUUGGAAAUACCCCCAAGCCUUGUCUUUAUCUGUCAACUCCUCCAAAAUGUAAAAACACAAACAAGAUAACUCUUUCUUAAAUUUUCACCAUCAAUUUUUUAUCCACCCAGCCUAAAAGUCCUGAUUAUUUGUUCUGGGUCCCUGGCAAUGACUGUUGGGUACAAACUGCAAAGCUUUGUUCUACAGGUAGGGCUGGGCUUUUCAUUGACCAUGGGUUGGAAUAGUUCUGUGGGCAUAGUGUGUCUCCAAAGCCACUAUGUUUUCUGCUGUUGUGACUAUAGAGCACCUUGAUAGCUCAGUUGGUAGAGCGGUGGACUGUAAGAUGCUCCUUGUGUGAAACGCUGUGAUCCUAAGGUCGCUGGUUCAACUCCAGCUCCAAGCACCUCCUUGUGAUUGGAAAUACCCCCAAGCCUUGUCUUUAUCUGUCAACCCCUUUCAAAAUGUAAAAACACAAACAAGAUAACUCUUUCUUAAAUUUUCAACCAUCAAUUUUUUAUUCACCCAGCCUAAAAGUCCUGAUUAUUAGUUCUGGGUCCCUGGCAAUGACUGUUGGGUACAAACUGCAAAGCUUUGUUCUACAGGUAGGGCUGGGCUUUUCAUUGACCAUGGGUUGGAAUAGUUCUGUGGGCAGUGUGUCUCCAAAGCCACUAUGUUUUCUGCUGUUGUGACUACUAGAGCACCUUGAUAGCUCAGUUGGUAGAGCGGUGGACUGUAAGAUGCUCCUUGUGUGAAAUGCUGUGAUCCCAAGGUCGCUGGUUCAACUCCAGCUCCAAGCACCUCCUUGUCAUUGGAAAUACCCCCAAGCCUUGUCUUUAUCUGUCAACUCCUCCAAAAUGUAAAAACACAAACAAGAUAACUCUUUCUUACAUUUUCAACCAUCAAUUUCUUAUUCAACCAGCCUAAAAGUCCUGAUUAUUAGUUGUGGGUCCCUGGCUAUGACUGUUGGGUACAAACUGCAAAGCUUUGUUCUACAGGUAGGGCUGGGCUUUUCAUUGACCAUGGGUUGGAAUAGUUCUGUGGGCAUAGUGUGUCUCCAAAGCCACUAUGUUUUCUGCUGUUGUGACUAGAGAGCACCUUGAUAAGCUCAGUUGGUAGAGCAGUGGACUGUAAGAUGCUCCUUGUGUGAAACGCUGUGAUCCUAAGGUUGCUGGUUCAACUCCAGCUCCAAGCACCUCCUUGUGAUUGGAAAUACCCCCAAGCCAUGUGUCUUUAUCAAUGUCAACUCCUCCAAAAUGUAAAAACACAAACAAGUUAACUCUUUCUUAAAUUUUCAACCAUCAAUUUUUUAUCCACCCAGCCUAAAAGUCCUGAUUAUUAGUUCUGGGUCCCUGACAAUGACUGUUGGGUACAAACUGCAAAGCUUUGUUCUACAGGUAGGGCUGGGCUUUUCAUUGACCAUGGGUUGGAAUAGUUCUGUGGGCAUAGUGUGUCUCCAAAGCCACUAUGUUUUCUGCUGUUGUGACUAGAGAGCACCUUGAUAGCUCAGUUGGUAGAGCAGUGCACUGUAAGAUGCUCCUUGUGUGAAACACUGUGAUCCUAAGGUCGCUGGUUCAACUCCAGCUCCAAGCACCUCCUUGUGAUUGGAAAUACCCCAAAGCCUUGUCUUUAUCUGUCAACUCCUCCAAAAUGUAAAAACACAAACAAGAUAACUCUUUCUUUAAUUUUCAACCAUCAAUUUUUUAUUCACCCAGCCUAAAAGUCCUGAUUAUUAGUUCUGGGUCCCUGGCAAUGACUGUUGGUUACAAACUGCAAAGCUUUGUUCUACAGGUAGGGCUGGGCUUUUCAUUGACCAUGGGUUGGAAUAGUUCUGUGGGCAUAGUGUGUCUCCAAAGCCACUAUGUUUUCUGCUGUUGUGACUAGAAAGCACCUUGAUAGCUCAGUUGGUAGAGCAGUGGACUGUAAGAUGCUCCUUGUGUGAAACGCUGUGAUCCCAAGGUCGCUGGUUCAACUCCAGCUCCAAGCACCUCCUUGUCAUUGGAAAUACCCCCAAGCCUUGUCUUUAUCUGUCAACUCCUCCAAAAUGUAAAAUCACAAACAAGAUAACUCUUUCUUAAAUUUUCCACCAACAAUUUUUUAUCCACCCAGCCUAAAAGUCCUGAUUAUUUGUUCUGGGUCCCUGGCAAUGACGGUUGGGUACAAACUGCAAAGCUUUGUUCUACAGGUAGGGCUGGGCUUUUCAUUGACCAUGGGUUGGAAUAGUUCUGUGGGCAUAGUGUGUCUCCAAAGCCACUAUGUUUUCUGCUGUUGUGACUAUAGAGCACCUUGAUAGCUCAGUUGGUAGAGCGGUGGACUGUAAGAUGCUCCUUGUGUGAAACACUGUGAUCCUAAGGUCGCUGGUUCAACUCCAGCUCCAAGCACCUCCUUGUGAUUGGAAAUACCCCAAAGCCUUGUCUUUAUCUGUCAACUCCUCCAAAAUGUAAAAUCACAAACAAGAUAACUCUUUCUUAAAUUUUCCACCAACAAUUUUUUAUCCACCCAGCCUAAAAGUCCUGAUUAUUUGUUCUGGGUCCCUGGCAAUGACGGUUGGGUACAAACUGCAAAGCUUUGUUCUACAGGUAGGGCUGGGCUUUUCAUUGACCAUGGGUUGGAAUAGUUCUGUGGGCAUAGUGUGUCUCCAAAGCCACUAUGUUUUCUGCUGUUGUGACUAUAGAGCACCUUGAUAGCUCAGUUGGUAGAGCGGUGGACUGUAAGAUGCUCCUUGUGUGAAACGCUCUGAUCCUAAGGUCGCUGGUUCAACUCCAGCUCCAAGCACCUCCUUGUCAUUGGAAAUACCCCCAAGCCUUGUCUUUAUCUGUCAACUCCUUUCAAAAUGUAAAAACACAAACAAGAUAACUCUUUCUUAAAUUUUCAACCAUCAAUUAUUUAUUCACCCAGCCUAAAAGUCCUGAUUAUUAGUUCUGGGUCCCUGGCAAUGACUGUUGGUUACAAACUGCAAAGCUUUGUUCUACAGGUAGGGCUGGGCUUUUCAUUGACCAUGGGUUGGAAUAGUUCUGUGGGCAAAGUGUGUCUCCAAAGCCACUAUGUUUUCUGCUGUUGUGACUACAGAGCACCUUGGUAGCUCAGUUGGUAGAGCGGUGGACUGUAAGAUGCUCCUUGUGUGAAACGCUGUGAUCCCAAGGUCGCUUGUUCAACUCCAGCUCCAAGCACCUCCUUGUCAUUGGAAAUACCCCCAAGCCUUGUCUUUAUCUGUCAACUCCUCCAAAAUGUAAAAACACAAACAAGAUAACUCUUUCUUAAAUUUUCAACCAUCAAUUUUUUAUUCACCCAGCCUAAAAGUCCUGAUUAUUAGUUCUGGGUCCCUGGCUAUGACUGUUGGGUACAAACUGCAAAGCUUUGUUCUACAGGUAGGGCUGGGCUUUUCAUUGACCAUGGGUUGGAAUAGUUCUGUGGGCAUAGUGUGUCUCCAAAGCCACUAUGUUUUCUGCUGUUGUGACUAGAGAGCACCUUGAUAAGCUCAGUUGGUAGAGCAGUGGACUGUAAGAUGCUCCUUGUGUGAAACACUGUGAUCCUAAUGUUGCUGGUUCAACUCCAGCUCCAAGCACCUCCUUGUGAUUGGAAAUACCCCCAAGCCAUGUGUUUAUCAAUUAACUCCUCCAAAAUGUAAAAACACAAACAAGUUAACUCAUUCUUAAAUUUUCAACCAUCAAUUUUUUAUCCACCCAGCCUAAAAGUCCUGAUUAUUAGUUCUGGGUCCCUGGCAAUGACUGUUGGGUACAAACUGCAAAGCUUUGUUCUACAGGUAGGGCUGGGCCUUUCAUUGACCAUGGGUUGGAAUACUUCUGUGGGCAAAGUGUGUCUCCAAAGCCACUAUGUUUUCUGCUGUUGUGACUACAGAGCACCUUGAUAGCUCAGUUGGUAGAGCAGUGGACUGUAAGAUGCUCCUUGUGUGAAACGCUGUGAUCCCAAGGUCGCUGGUUCAACUCCAGCUCCAAGCACCUCCUUGUCAUUGGAAAUACCCCCAAGCCUUGUCUUUAUCUGUAAACUCCUCCAAAAUGUAAAAUCACAAACAAGAUAACUCUUUCUUAAAUUUUCCACCAACAAUUUUUUAUCCACCCAGCCUAAAAGUCCUGAUUAUUUGUUCUGGGUCCCUGGCAAUGACGGUUGGGUACAAACUGCAAAGCUUUGUUCUACAGGUAGGGCUGGGCUUUUCAUUGACCAUGGGUUGGAAUAGUUCUGUGGGCAUAGUGUGUCUCCAAAGCCACUAUGUUUUCUGCUGUUGUGACUAUAGAGCACCUUGAUAGCUCAGUUGGUAGAGCAGUGGACUGUAAGAUGCUCCUUGUGUGAAACACUGUGAUCCUAAGGUCGCUGGUUCAACUCCAGCUCCAAGCACCUCCUUGUGAUUGGAAAUACCCCCAAAGCCUUGUCUUUAUCUGUCAACUCCUCCAAAAUGUAAAAUCACAAACAAGAUAACUCUUUCUUAAAUUUUCCACCAACAAUUUUUUAUCCACCCAGCCUAAAAGUCCUGAUUAUUUGUUCUGGGUCCCUGGCAAUGACGGUUGGGUACAAACUGCAAAGCUUUGUUCUACAGGUAGGGCUGGGCUUUUCAUUGACCAUGGGUUGGAAUAGUUCUGUGGGCAUAGUGUGUCUCCAAAGCCACUAUGUUUUCUGCUGUUGUGACUAUAGAGCACCUUGAUAGCUCAGUUGGUAGAGCGGUGGACUGUAAGAUGCUCCUUGUGUGAAACGCUCUGAUCCUAAGGUCGCUGGUUCAACUCCAGCUCCAAGCACCUCCUUGUCAUUGGAAAUACCCCCAAGCCUUGUCUUUAUCUGUCAACCCCUUUCAAAAUGUAAAAACACAAACAAGAUAACUCUUUCUUAAAUUUUCAACCAUCAAUUUUUUAUUCACCCAGCCUAAAAGUCCUGAUUAUUAGUUCUGGGUCCCUGGCAAUGACUGUUGGUUACAAACUGCAAAGCUUUGUUCUACAGGUAGGGCUGGGCUUUUCAUUGACCAUGGGUUGGAAUAGUUCUGUGGGCAAAGUGUGUCUCCAAAGCCACUAUGUUUUCUGCUGUUGUGACUACAGAGCACCUUGAUAGCUCAGUUGGUAGAGCGGUGGACUGUAAGAUGCUCCUUGUGUGAAAUGCUGUGAUCCCAAGGUCGCUUGUUCAACUCCAGCUCCAAGCACCUCCUUGUCAUUGGAAAUACCCCCAAGCCUUGUCUUUAUCUGUCAACUCCUCCAAAAUGUAAAAACACAAACAAGAUAACUCUUUCUUAAAUUUUCAACCAUCAAUUUUUUAUUCACCCAGCCUAAAAGUCCUGAUUAUUAGUUCUGGGUCCCUGGCUAUGACUGUUGGGUACAAACUGCAAAGCUUUGUUCUACAGGUAGGGCUGGGCUUUUCAUUGACCAUGGGUUGGAAUAGUUCUGUGGGCAUAGUGUGUCUCCAAAGCCACUAUGUUUUCUGCUGUUGUGACUAGAGAGCACCUUGAUAAGCUCAGUUGGUAGAGCAGUGGACUGUAAGAUGCUCCUUGUGUGAAACACUGUGAUCCUAAUGUUGCUGGUUCAACUCCAGCUCCAAGCACCUCCUUGUGAUUGGAAAUACCCCCAAGCCAUGUGUUUAUCAAUUAACUCCUCCAAAAUGUAAAAACACAAACAAGUUAACUCAUUCUUAAAUUUUCAACCAUCAAUUUUUUAUCCACCCAGCCUAAAAGUCCUGAUUAUUAGUUCUGGGUCCCUGACAAUGACUGUUGGGUACAAACUGCAAAGCUUUGUUCUACAGGUAGGGCUGGGCUUUUCAUUGACCAUGGGUUGGAAUAGUUCUGUGGGCAUAGUGUGUCUCCAAAGCCACUAUGUUUUCUGCUGUUGUGACUAGAGAGCACCUUGAUAGCUCAGUUGGUAGAGCAGUGCACUGUAAGAUGCUCCUUGUGUGAAACACUGUGAUCCUAAGGUCGCUGGUUCAACUCCAGCUCCAAGCACCUCCUUGUGAUUGGAAAUACCCCAAAGCCUUGUCUUUAUCUGUCAACUCCUCCAAAAUGUAAAAACACAAACAAGAUAACUCUUUCUUUAAUUUUCAACCAUCAAUUUUUUAUUCACCCAGCCUAAAAGUCCUGAUUAUUAGUUCUGGGUCCCUGGCAAUGACUGUUGGUUACAAACUGCAAAGCUUUGUUCUACAGGUAGGGCUGGGCUUUUCAUUGACCAUGGGUUGGAAUAGUUCUGUGGGCAAAGUGUGUCUCCAAAGCCACUAUGUUUUCUGCUGUUGUGACUAGAAAGCACCUUGAUAGCUCAGUUGGUAGAGCAGUGGACUGUAAGAUGCUCCUUGUGUGAAACGCUGUGAUCCCAAGGUCGCUGGUUCAACUCCAGCUCCAAGCACCUCCUUGUCAUUGGAAAUACCCCCAAGCCUUGUCUUUAUCUGUCAACUCCUCCAAAAUGUAAAAUCACAAACAAGAUAACUCUUUCUUAAAUUUUCCACCAACAAUUUUUUAUCCACCCAGCCUAAAAGUCCUGAUUAUUUGUUCUGGGUCCCUGGCAAUGACGGUUGGGUACAAACUGCAAAGCUUUGUUCUACAGGUAGGGCUGGGCUUUUCAUUGACCAUGGGUUGGAAUAGUUCUGUGGGCAUAGUGUGUCUCCAAAGCCACUAUGUUUUCUGCUGUUGUGACUAUAGAGCACCUUGAUAGCUCAGUUGGUAGAGCGGUGGACUGUAAGAUGCUCCUUGUGUGAAACACUGUGAUCCUAAGGUCGCUGGUUCAACUCCAGCUCCAAGCACCUCCUUGUGAUUGGAAAUACCCCAAAGCCUUGUCUUUAUCUGUCAACUCCUCCAAAAUGUAAAAUCACAAACAAGAUAACUCUUUCUUAAAUUUUCCACCAACAAUUUUUUAUCCACCCAGCCUAAAAGUCCUGAUUAUUUGUUCUGGGUCCCUGGCAAUGACGGUUGGGUACAAACUGCAAAGCUUUGUUCUACAGGUAGGGCUGGGCUUUUCAUUGACCAUGGGUUGGAAUAGUUCUGUGGGCAUAGUGUGUCUCCAAAGCCACUAUGUUUUCUGCUGUUGUGACUAUAGAGCACCUUGAUAGCUCAGUUGGUAGAGCGGUGGACUGUAAGAUGCUCCUUGUGUGAAACGCUCUGAUCCUAAGGUCGCUGGUUCAACUCCAGCUCCAAGCACCUCCUUGUCAUUGGAAAUACCCCCAAGCCUUGUCUUUAUCUGUCAACCCCUUUCAAAAUGUAAAAACACAAACAAGAUAACUCUUUCUUAAAUUUUCAACCAUCAAUUAUUUAUUCACCCAGCCUAAAAGUCCUGAUUAUUAGUUCUGGGUCCCUGGCAAUGACUGUUGGUUACAAACUGCAAAGCUUUGUUCUACAGGUAGGGCUGGGCUUUUCAUUGACCAUGGGUUGGAAUAGUUCUGUGGGCAAAGUGUGUCUCCAAAGCCACUAUGUUUUCUGCUGUUGUGACUACAGAGCACCUUGGUAGCUCAGUUGGUAGAGCGGUGGACUGUAAGAUGCUCCUUGUGUGAAACGCUGUGAUCCCAAGGUCGCUUGUUCAACUCCAGCUCCAAGCACCUCCUUGUCAUUGGAAAUACCCCCAAGCCUUGUCUUUAUCUGUCAACUCCUCCAAAAUGUAAAAACACAAACAAGAUAACUCUUUCUUAAAUUUUCAACCAUCAAUUUUUUAUUCACCCAGCCUAAAAGUCCUGAUUAUUAGUUCUGGGUCCCUGGCUAUGACUGUUGGGUACAAACUGCAAAGCUUUGUUCUACAGGUAGGGCUGGGCUUUUCAUUGACCAUGGGUUGGAAUAGUUCUGUGGGCAUAGUGUGUCUCCAAAGCCACUAUGUUUUCUGCUGUUGUGACUAGAGAGCACCUUGAUAAGCUCAGUUGGUAGAGCAGUGGACUGUAAGAUGCUCCUUGUGUGAAACACUGUGAUCCUAAUGUUGCUGGUUCAACUCCAGCUCCAAGCACCUCCUUGUGAUUGGAAAUACCCCCAAGCCAUGUGUUUAUCAAUUAACUCCUCCAAAAUGUAAAAACACAAACAAGUUAACUCAUUCUUAAAUUUUCAACCAUCAAUUUUUUAUCCACCCAGCCUAAAAGUCCUGAUUAUUAGUUCUGGGUCCCUGGCAAUGACUGUUGGGUACAAACUGCAAAGCUUUGUUCUACAGGUAGGGCUGGGCUUUUCAUUGACCAUGGGUUGGAAUAGUUCUGUGGGCAUAGUGUGUCUCCAAAGCCACUAUGUUUUCUGCUGUUGUGACUACAGAGCACCUUGAUAGCUCAGUUGGUAGAGCAGUGGACUGUAAGAUGCUCCUUGUAUGAAACGCUGUGAUUCUAAGGUCGCUGGUUCAACUCCAGCUCCAAGCACCUCCUUGUCAUUGGAAAUACCCCCAAGCCUUGUCUUUAUCUGUCAACUCCUCCAAAAUGUAAAAACACAAACAAGAUAACUCUUUCUUAAAUUUUCCACCAACAAUUUUUUAUCCACCCAGCCUAAACGUCCUGAUUAUAAGUUCUGGGUCCCUGGCUAUGACUGUUGGGUACAAACUGCAAAGCUUUGUUCUACAGGUAGGGCUGGGCUUUUCAUUGACCAUGGGUUGGAAUAGUUCUGUGGGCAUAGUGUGUCUCCAAAGCCAUUAUGUUUUCUGCUGUUGUGACUAGAGAGCACCUUGAUAGCUCAGUUGGUAGAGCAGUGGACUGUAAGAUGCUCCUUGUGUGAAACGCUGUGAUCCUAAGGUCGCUGGUUCAACUCCAGCUCCAAGCACCUCCUUGUCAUUGGAAAUACCCCCAAGCCUUGUCUUUAUCUGUCAACUCCUCCAAAAUGUAAAAACACAAACAAGAUAACUCUUUCUUAAAUUUUCAACCAUCAAUUUUUUAUUCACCCAGCCUAAAAGUCCUGAUUAUUAGUUCUGGGUCCCUGGCAAUGACUGUUGGGUACAAACUGCAAAGCUUUGUUCUACAGGUAGGGCUGGGCCUUUCAUUGACCAUGGGUUGGAAUAGUUCUGUGGGCAAAGUGUGUCUCCAAAGCCACUAUGUUUUGUGCUGUUGUGACUAUAGAGCACCUUGAUAGCUCAGUUGGUAGAGCGGUGGACUGUAAGAUGCUCCUUGUGUGAAACGCUGUCAUCCCAAGGUCGCUGGUUCAACUCCAGCUCCAAGCACCUCCUUGUCAUUGGAAAUACCCCCAAGCCUUGUCUUUAUCAAUCAACUCCUCCAAAAUGUAAAAACACAAACAAGUUAACUCAUUCUUAAAUUUUCAACCAUCAAUUUUUUAUCCACCCAGCCUAAAAGUCCUGAUUAUUAGUUCUGGGUCCCUGGCAAUGACUGUUGGGUACAAACUGCAAAGCUUUGUUCUACAGGUAGGGCUGGGCUUUUCAUUGACCAUGGGUUGGAAUAGUUCUGUGGGCAUAGUGUGUCUCCAAAGCCACUAUGUUUUCUGCUGUUUUGACUAGAGAGCACCUUGAUAGCUCAGUUGGUAGAGCGGUGGACUGUAAGAUGCUCCUUGUGUGAAACGCUCUGAUCCUAAGGUCGCUGGUUCAACUCCAGCUCCAAGCACCUCCUUGUGAUUGGAAAUACCCCCAAGCCUUGUCUUUAUCUGUCAACUCCUCCAAAAUGUAAAAACACAAACAAGAUAACUCUUUCUUAAAUUUUCAACCAACAAUUUUUUAUCCACCCAGCCUAAAAGUCCUGAUUAUUAGUUCUGGGUCCCUGACAAUGACUGUUGGGUACAAACUGCAAAGCUUUGUUCUACAGGUAGGGCUGGGCUUUUCAUUGACCAUGGGUUGGAAUAGUUCUGUGGGCAAAGUGUGUCUCCAAAGCCACUAUGUUUUCUGCUGUUGUGACUAGAGAGCACCUUGAUAGCUCAGUUGGUAGAGCAGUGCACUGUAAGAUGCUCCUUGUGUGAAACACUGUGAUCCUAAGGUCGCUGGUUCAACUCCAGCUCCAAGCACCUCCUUGUGAUUGGAAAUACCCCAAAGCCUUGUCUUUAUCUGUCAACUCCUCCAAAAUGUAAAAACACAAACAAGAUAACUCUUUCUUUAAUUUUCAACCAUCAAUUUUUUAUUCACCCAGCCUAAAAGUCCUGAUUAUUAGUUCUGGGUCCCUGGCAAUGACUGUUGGGUACAAACUGCAAAGCUUUGUUCUACAGGUAGGGCUGGGCCUUUCAUUGACCAUGGGUUGGAAUAGUUCUGUGGGCAAAGUGUGUCUCCAAAGCCACUAUGUUUUCUGCUGUUGUGACUAGAGAGCACCUUGAUAGCUCAGUUGGUAGAGCAGUGGACUGUAAGAUGCUCCUUGUGUGAAACGCUGUGAUCCCAAGGUCGCUGGUUCAACUCCAGCUCCAAGCACCUCCUUGUCAUUGGAAAUACCCCCAAGCCUUGUCUUUAUCUGUAAACUCCUCCAAAAUGUAAAAUCACAAACAAGAUAACUCUUUCUUAAAUUUUCCACCAACAAUUUUUUAUCCACCCAGCCUAAAAGUCCUGAUUAUUUGUUCUGGGUCCCUGGCAAUGACGGUUGGGUACAAACUGCAAAGCUUUGUUCUACAGGUAGGGCUGGGCUUUUCAUUGACCAUGGGUUGGAAUAGUUCUGUGGGCAUAGUGUGUCUCCAAAGCCACUAUGUUUUCUGCUGUUGUGACUAUAGAGCACCUUGAUAGCUCAGUUGGUAGAGCGGUGGACUGUAAGAUGCUCCUUGUGUGAAACGCUCUGAUCCUAAGGUCGCUGGUUCAACUCCAGCUCCAAGCCCCUCCUUGUCAUUGGAAAUACCCCCAAGCCUUGUCUUUAUCUGUCAACCCCUUUCAAAAUGUAAAAACACAAACAAGAUAACUCUUUCUUAAAUUUUCAACCAUCAAUUUUUUAUUCACCCAGCCUAAAAGUCCUGAUUAUUAGUUCUGGGUCCCUGGCAAUGACUGUUGGUUACAAACUGCAAAGCUUUGUUCUACAGGUAGGGCUGGGCUUUUCAUUGACCAUGGGUUGGAAUAGUUCUGUGGGCAAAGUGUGUCUCCAAAGCCACUAUGUUUUCUGCUGUUGUGACUACAGAGCACCUUGAUAGCUCAGUUGGUAGAGCGUUGGACUGUUAGAUGCUCCUUGUGUGAAAUGCUGUGAUCCCAAGGUCGCUUGUUCAACUCCAGCUCCAAGCACCUCCUUGUCAUUGGAAAUACCCCCAAGCCUUGUCUUUAUCUGUCAACUCCUCCAAAAUGUAAAAACACAAACAAGAUAACUCUUUCUUAAAUUUUCAACCAUCAAUUUUUUAUUCACCCAGCCUAAAAGUCCUGAUUAUUAGUUCUGGGUCCCUGGCUAUGACUGUUGGGUACAAACUGCAAAGCUUUGUUCUACAGGUAGGGCUGGGCUUUUCAUUGACCAUGGGUUGGAAUAGUUCUGUGGGCAUAGUGUGUCUCCAAAGCCACUAUGUUUUCUGCUGUUGUGACUAGAGAGCACCUUGAUAAGCUCAGUUGGUAGAGCAGUGGACUGUAAGAUGCUCCUUGUGUGAAACACUGUGAUCCUAAUGUUGCUGGUUCAACUCCAGCUCCAAGCACCUCCUUGUGAUUGGAAAUACCCCCAAGCCAUGUGUUUAUCAAUUAACUCCUCCAAAAUGUAAAAACACAAACAAGUUAACUCAUUCUUAAAUUUUCAACCAUCAAUUUUUUAUCCACCCAGCCUAAAAGUCCUGAUUAUUAGUUCUGGGUCCCUGACAAUGACUGUUGGGUACAAACUGCAAAGCUUUGUUCUACAGGUAGGGCUGGGCUUUUCAUUGACCAUGGGUUGGAAUAGUUCUGUGGGCAUAGUGUGUCUCCAAAGCCACUAUGUUUUCUGCUGUUGUGACUAGAGAGCACCUUGAUAGCUCAGUUGGUAGAGCGGUGGACUGUAAGAUGCUCCUUGUGUGAAACACUGUGAUCCUAAGGUCGCUGGUUCAACUCCAGCUCCAAGCACCUCCUUGUGAUUGGAAAUACCCCAAAGCCUUGUCUUUAUCUGUCAACUCCUCCAAAAUGUAAAAUCACAAACAAGAUAACUCUUUCUUAAAUUUUCCACCAACAAUUUUUUAUCCACCCAGCCUAAAAGUCCUGAUUAUUUGUUCUGGGUCCCUGGCAAUGACGGUUGGGUACAAACUGCAAAGCUUUGUUCUACAGGUAGGGCUGGGCUUUUCAUUGACCAUGGGUUGGAAUAGUUCUGUGGGCAUAGUGUGUCUCCAAAGCCACUAUGUUUUCUGCUGUUGUGACUAGAGAGCACCUUGAUAGCUCAGUUGGUAGAGCGGUGGACUGUAAGAUGCUCCUUGUGUGAAACGCUCUGAUCCUAAGGUCGCUGGUUCAACUCCAGCUCCAAGCACCUCCUUGUCAUUGGAAAUACCCCCAAGCCUUGUCUUUAUCUGUCAACCCCUUUCAAAAUGUAAAAACACAAACAAGAUAACUCUUUCUUAAAUUUUCAACCAUCAAUUUUUUAUUCACCCAGCCUAAAAGUCCUGAUUAUUAGUUCUGGGUCCCUGGCAAUGACUGUUGGUUACAAACUGCAAAGCUUUGUUCUACAGGUAGGGCUGGGCUUUUCAUUGACCAUGGGUUGGAAUAGUUCUGUGGGCAAAGUGUGUCUCCAAAGCCACUAUGUUUUCUGCUGUUGUGACUACAGAGCACCUUGGUAGCUCAGUUGGUAGAGCGGUGGACUGUAAGAUGCUCCUUGUGUGAAACGCUGUGAUCCCAAGGUCGCUUGUUCAACUCCAGCUCCAAGCACCUCCUUGUCAUUGGAAAUACCCCCAAGCCUUGUCUUUAUCUGUCAACUCCUCCAAAAUGUAAAAACACAAACAAGAUAACUCUUUCUUAAAUUUUCAACCAUCAAUUUUUUAUUCACCCAGCCUAAAAGUCCUGAUUAUUAGUUCUGGGUCCCUGGCUAUGACUGUUGGGUACAAACUGCAAAGCUUUGUUCUACAGGUAGGGCUGGGCUUUUCAUUGACCAUGGGUUGGAAUAGUUCUGUGGGCAUAGUGUGUCUCCAAAGCCACUAUGUUUUCUGCUGUUGUGACUAGAGAGCACCUUGAUAAGCUCAGUUGGUAGAGCAGUGGACUGUAAGAUGCUCCUUGUGUGAAACACUGUGAUCCUAAUGUUGCUGGUUCAACUCCAGCUCCAAGCACCUCCUUGUGAUUGGAAAUACCCCCAAGCCUUGUCUUUAUCUGUCAACUCCUCCAAAAUGUAAAAACACAAACAAGUUAACUCAUUCUUAAAUUUUCAACCAUCAAUUUUUUAUCCACCCAGCCUAAAAGUCCUGAUUAUUAGUUCUGGGUCCCUGGAAAUGACUGUUGGGUACAAACUGCAAAGCUUUGUUCUACAGGUAGGGCUGGGCUUUUCAUUGACCAUGGGUUGGAAUAGUUCUGUGGGCAUAGUGUGUCUCCAAAGCCACUAUGUUUUCUGCUGUUGUGACUACAGAGCACCUUGAUAGCUCAGUUGGUAGAGCGGUGGACUGUAAGAUGCUCCUUGUAUGAAACGCUGUGAUUCUAAGGUCGCUGGUUCAACUCCAGCUCCAAGCACCUCCUUGUCAUUGGAAAUACCCCCAAGCCUUGUCUUUAUCUGUCAACUCCUCCAAAAUGUAAAAACACAAACAAUAUAACUCUUUCUUAAAUUUUCCACCAACAAUUUUUUAUCCACCCAGCCUAAACGUCCUGAUUAUUAGUUCUGGGUCCCUGGCUAUGACUGUUGGGUACAAACUGCAAAGCUUUGUUCUACAGGUAGGGCUGGGCUUUUCAUUGACCAUGGGUUGGAAUAGUUCUGUGGGCAUAGUGUGUCUCCAAAGCCAUUAUGUUUUCUGCUGUUGUGACUAGAGAGCACCUUGAUAGCUCAGUUGGUAGAGCAGUGGACUGUAAGAUGCUCCUUGUGUGAAACGCUGUGAUCCUAAGGUCGCUGGUUCAACUCCAGCUCCAAGCACCUCCUUGUCAUUGGAAAUACCCCCAAGCCUUGUCUUUAUCUGUCAACUCCUCCAAAAUGUAAAAACACAAACAAGAUAACUCUUUCUUAAAUUUUCAACCAUCAAUUUUUUAUUCACCCAGCCUAAAAGUCCUGAUUAUUAGUUCUGGGUCCCUGGCAAUGACUGUUGGGUACAAACUGCAAAGCUUUGUUCUACAGGUAGGGCUGGGCCUUUCAUUGACCAUGGGUUGGAAUAGUUCUGUGGGCAAAGUGUGUCUCCAAAGCCACUAUGUUUUGUGCUGUUGUGACUAUAGAGCACCUUGAUAGCUCAGUUGGUAGAGCGGUGGACUGUAAGAUGCUCCUUGUGUGAAACGCUGUGAUCCCAAGGUCGCUGGUUCAACUCCAGCUCCAAGCACCUCCUUGUCAUUGGAAAUACCCCCAAGCCUUGUCUUUAUCAAUCAACUCCUCCAAAAUGUAAAAACACAAACAAGUUAACUCAUUCUUAAAUUUUCAACCAUCAAUUUUUUAUCCACCCAGCCUAAAAGUCCUGAUUAUUAGUUCUGGGUCCCUGGCAAUGACUGUUGGGUACAAACUGCAAAGCUUUGUUCUACAGGUAGGGCUGGGCUUUUCAUUGACCAUGGGUUGGAAUAGUUCUGUGGGCAUAGUGUGUCUCCAAAGCCACUAUGUUUUCUGCUGUUUUGACUAGAGAGCACCUUGAUAGCUCAGUUGGUAGAGCGGUGGACUGUAAGAUGCUCCUUGUGUGAAACGCUCUGAUCCUAAGGUCGCUGGUUCAACUCCAGCUCCAAGCACCUCCUUGUGAUUGGAAAUACCCCCAAGCCUUGUCUUUAUCUGUCAACUCCUCCAAAAUGUAAAAACACAAACAAGAUAACUCUUUCUUAAAUUUUCAACCAUCAAUUUUUUAUUCACCCAGCCUAAAAGUCCUGAUUAUUAGUUCUGGGUCCCUGGCAAUGACUGUUGGGUACAAACUGCAAAGCUUUGUUCUACAGGUAGGGCUGGGCCUUUCAUUGACCAUGGGUUGGAAUAGUUCUGUGGGCAAAGUGUGUCUCCAAAGCCACUAUGUUUUCUGCUGUUGUGACUAGAAAGCACCUUGAUAGCUCAGUUGGUAGAGCAGUGGACUGUAAGAUGCUCCUUGUGUGAAACGCUGUGAUCCCAAGGUCGCUGGUUCAACUCCAGCUCCAAGCACCUCCUUGUCAUUGGAAAUACCCCCAAGCCUUGUCUUUAUCUGUCAACUCCUCCAAAAUGUAAAAUCACAAACAAGAUAACUCUUUCUUAAAUUUUCCACCAACAAUUUUUUAUCCACCCAGCCUAAAAGUCCUGAUUAUUUGUUCUGGGUCCCUGGCAAUGACGGUUGGGUACAAACUGCAAAGCUUUGUUCUACAGGUAGGGCUGGGCUUUUCAUUGACCAUGGGUUGGAAUAGUUCUGUGGGCAUAGUGUGUCUCCAAAGCCACUAUGUUUUCUGCUGUUGUGACUAUAGAGCACCUUGAUAGCUCAGUUGGUAGAGCGGUGGACUGUAAGAUGCUCCUUGUGUGAAACACUGUGAUCCUAAGGUCGCUGGUUCAACUCCAGCUCCAAGCACCUCCUUGUGAUUGGAAAUACCCCAAAGCCUUGUCUUUAUCUGUCAACUCCUCCAAAAUGUAAAAUCACAAACAAGAUAACUCUUUCUUAAAUUUUCCACCAACAAUUUUUUAUCCACCCAGCCUAAAAGUCCUGAUUAUUUGUUCUGGGUCCCUGGCAAUGACGGUUGGGUACAAACUGCAAAGCUUUGUUCUACAGGUAGGGCUGGGCUUUUCAUUGACCAUGGGUUGGAAUAGUUCUGUGGGCAUAGUGUGUCUCCAAAGCCACUAUGUUUUCUGCUGUUGUGACUAUAGAGCACCUUGAUAGCUCAGUUGGUAGAGCGGUGGACUGUAAGAUGCUCCUUGUGUGAAACGCUCUGAUCCUAAGGUCGCUGGUUCAACUCCAGCUCCAAGCACCUCCUUGUCAUUGGAAAUACCCCCAAGCCUUGUCUUUAUCUGUCAACCCCUUUCAAAAUGUAAAAACACAAACAAGAUAACUCUUUCUUAAAUUUUCAACCAUCAAUUUUUUAUUCACCCAGCCUAAAAGUCCUGAUUAUUAGUUCUGGGUACCUGGCAAUGACUGUUGGGUACAAACUGCAAAGCUUUGUUCUACAGGUAGGGCUGGGCUUUUCAUUGACCAUGGGUUGGAAUAGUUCUGUGGGCAUAGUGUGUCUCCAAAGCCACUAUGUUUUCUGCUGUUUUGACUAGAGAGCACCUUGAUAGCUCAGUUGGUAGAGCGGUGGACUGUAAGAUGCUCCUUGUGUGAAACGCUCUGAUCCUAAGGUCGCUGGUUCAACUCCAGCUCCAAGCACCUCCUUGUGAUUGGAAAUACCCCCAAGCCUUGUCUUUAUCUGUCAACUCCUCCAAAAUGUAAAAACACAAACAAGAUAACUCUUUCUUACAUUUUCAACCAUCAAUUUUUUAUUCACCCAGCCUAAAAGUCCUGAUUAUUAGUUCUGGGUCCCUGGCAAUGACUGUUGGGUACAAACUGCAAAGCUUUGUUCUACAGGUAGGGCUGGGCCUUUCAUUGACCAUGGGUUGGAAUAGUUCUGUGGGCAAAGUGUGUCUCCAAAGCCACUAUGUUUUCUGCUGUUGUGACUAGAAAGCACCUUGAUAGCUCAGUUGGUAGAGCAGUGGACUGUAAGAUGCUCCUUGUGUGAAACGCUGUGAUCCCAAGGUCGCUGGUUCAACUCCAGCUCCAAGCACCUCCUUGUCAUUGGAAAUACCCCCAAGCCUUGUCUUUAUCUGUCAACUCCUCCAAAAUGUAAAAUCACAAACAAGAUAACUCUUUCUUAAAUUUUCCACCAACAAUUUUUUAUCCACCCAGCCUAAAAGUCCUGAUUAUUUGUUCUGGGUCCCUGGCAAUGACGGUUGGGUACAAACUGCAAAGCUUUGUUCUACAGGUAGGGCUGGGCUUUUCAUUGACCAUGGGUUGGAAUAGUUCUGUGGGCAUAGUGUGUCUCCAAAGCCACUAUGUUUUCUGCUGUUGUGACUAUAGAGCACCUUGAUAGCUCAGUUGGUAGAGCGGUGGACUGUAAGAUGCUCCUUGUGUGAAACACUGUGAUCCUAAGGUCGCUGGUUCAACUCCAGCUCCAAGCACCUCCUUGUGAUUGGAAAUACCCCAAAGCCUUGUCUUUAUCUGUCAACUCCUCCAAAAUGUAAAAUCACAAACAAGAUAACUCUUUCUUAAAUUUUCCACCAACAAUUUUUUAUCCACCCAGCCUAAAAGUCCUGAUUAUUUGUUCUGGGUCCCUGGCAAUGACGGUUGGGUACAAACUGCAAAGCUUUGUUCUACAGGUAGGGCUGGGCUUUUCAUUGACCAUGGGUUGGAAAAGUUCUGUGGGCAUAGUGUGUCUCCAAAGCCACUAUGUUUUCUGCUGUUGUGACUAUAGAGCACCUUGAUAGCUCAGUUGGUAGAGCGGUGGACUGUAAGAUGCUCCUUGUGUGAAACGCUCUGAUCCUAAGGUCGCUGGUUCAACUCCAGCUCCAAGCACCUCCUUGUCAUUGGAAAUACCCCCAAGCCUUGUCUUUAUCUGUCAACCCCUUUCAAAAUGUAAAAACACAAACAAGAUAACUCUUUCUUAAAUUUUCAACCAUCAAUUUUUUAUUCACCCAGCCUAAAAGUCCUGAUUAUUAGUUCUGGGUCCCUGGCAAUGACUGUUGGUUACAAACUGCAAAGCUUUGUUCUACAGGUAGGGCUGGGCUUUUCAUUGACCAUGGGUUGGAAUAGUUCUGUGGGCAAAGUGUGUCUCCAAAGCCACUAUGUUUUCUGCUGUUGUGACUACAGAGCACCUUGAUAGCUCAGUUGGUAGAGCGGUGGACUGUAAGAUGCUCCUUGUGUGAAAUGCUGUGAUCCCAAGGUCGCUUGUUCAACUCCAGCUCCAAGCACCUCCUUGUCAUUGGAAAUACCCCCAAGCCUUGUCUUUAUCUGUCAACUCCUCCAAAAUGUAAAAACACAAACAAGAUAACUCUUUCUUAAAUUUUCAACCAUCAAUUUUUUAUUCACCCAGCCUAAAAGUCCUGAUUAUUAGUUCUGGGUCCCUGGCUAUGACUGUUGGGUACAAACUGCAAAGCUUUGUUCUACAGGUAGGGCUGGGCUUUUCAUUGACCAUGGGUUGGAAUAGUUCUGUGGGCAUAGUGUGUCUCCAAAGCCACUAUGUUUUCUGCUGUUGUGACUAGAGAGCACCUUGAUAAGCUCAGUUGGUAGAGCAGUGGACUGUAAGAUGCUCCUUGUGUGAAACACUGUGAUCCUAAUGUUGCUGGUUCAACUCCAGCUCCAAGCACCUCCUUGUGAUUGGAAAUACCCCCAAGCCAUGUGUUUAUCAAUUAACUCCUCCAAAAUGUAAAAACACAAACAAGUUAACUCAUUCUUAAAUUUUCAACCAUCAAUUUUUUAUCCACCCAGCCUAAAAGUCCUGAUUAUUAGUUCUGGGUCCCUGACAAUGACUGUUGGGUACAAACUGCAAAGCUUUGUUCUACAGGUAGGGCUGGGCUUUUCAUUGACCAUGGGUUGGAAUAGUUCUGUGGGCAUAGUGUGUCUCCAAAGCCACUAUGUUUUCUGCUGUUGUGACUAGAGAGCACCUUGAUAGCUCAGUUGGUAGAGCAGUGCACUGUAAGAUGCUCCUUGUGUGAAACACUGUGAUCCUAAGGUCGCUGGUUCAACUCCAGCUCCAAGCACCUCCUUGUGAUUGGAAAUACCCCAAAGCCUUGUCUUUAUCUGUCAACUCCUCCAAAAUGUAAAAACACAAACAAGAUAACUCUUUCUUUAAUUUUCAACCAUCAAUUUUUUAUUCACCCAGCCUAAAAGUCCUGAUUAUUAGUUCUGGGUCCCUGGCAAUGACUGUUGGGUACAAACUGCAAAGCUUUGUUCUACAGGUAGGGCUGGGCCUUUCAUUGACCAUGGGUUGGAAUAGUUCUGUGGGCAAAGUGUGUCUCCAAAGCCACUAUGUUUUCUGCUGUUGUGACUAGAAAGCACCUUGAUAGCUCAGUUGGUAGAGCAGUGGACUGUAAGAUGCUCCUUGUGUGAAACGCUGUGAUCCCAAGGUCGCUGGUUCAACUCCAGCUCCAAGCACCUCCUUGUCAUUGGAAAUACCCCCAAGCCUUGUCUUUAUCUGUCAACUCCUCCAAAAUGUAAAAUCACAAACAAGAUAACUCUUUCUUAAAUUUUCCACCAACAAUUUUUUAUCCACCCAGCCUAAAAGUCCUGAUUAUUUGUUCUGGGUCCCUGGCAAUGACGGUUGGGUACAAACUGCAAAGCUUUGUUCUACAGGUAGGGCUGGGCUUUUCAUUGACCAUGGGUUGGAAUAGUUCUGUGGGCAUAGUGUGUCUCCAAAGCCACUAUGUUUUCUGCUGUUGUGACUAUAGAGCACCUUGAUAGCUCAGUUGGUAGAGCGGUGGACUGUAAGAUGCUCCUUGUGUGAAACACUGUGAUCCUAAGGUCGCUGGUUCAACUCCAGCUCCAAGCACCUCCUUGUGAUUGGAAAUACCGCAAAGCCUUGUCUUUAUCUGUCAACUCCUCCAAAAUGUAAAAUCACAAACAAGAUAACUCUUUCUUAAAUUUUCCACCAACAAUUUUUUAUCCACCCAGCCUAAAAGUCCUGAUUAUUUGUUCUGGGUCCCUGGCAAUGACGGUUGGGUACAAACUGCAAAGCUUUGUUCUACAGGUAGGGCUGGGCUUUUCAUUGACCAUGGGUUGGAAUAGUUCUGUGGGCAUAGUGUGUCUCCAAAGCCACUAUGUUUUCUGCUGUUGUGACUAUAGAGCACCUUGAUAGCUCAGUUGGUAGAGCGGUGGACUGUAAGAUGCUCCUUGUGUGAAACGCUCUGAUCCUAAGGUCGCUGUUUCAACUCCAGCUCCAAGCACCUCCUUGUCAUUGGAAAUACCCCCAAGCCUUGUCUUUAUCUGUCAACCCCUUUCAAAAUGUAAAAACAAAAACAAGAUAACUCUUUCUUAAAUUUUCAACCAUCAAUUUUUUAUUCACCCAGCCUAAAAGUCCUGAUUAUUAGUUCUGGGUCCCUGGCAAUGACUGUUGGUUACAAACUGCAAAGCUUUGUUCUACAGGUAGGGCUGGGCUUUUCAUUGACCAUGGGUUGGAAUAGUUCUGUGGGCAAAGUGUGUCUCCAAAGCCACUAUGUUUUCUGCUGUUGUGACUACAGAGCACCUUGGUAGCUCAGUUGGUAGAGCGGUGGACUGUAAGAUGCUCCUUGUGUGAAACGCUGUGAUCCCAAGGUCGCUUGUUCAACUCCAGCUCCAAGCACCUCCUUGUCAUUGGAAAUACCCCCAAGCCUUGUCUUUAUCUGUCAACUCCUCCAAAAUGUAAAAACACAAACAAGAUAACUCUUUCUUAAAUUUUCAACCAUCAAUUUUUUAUUCACCCAGCCUAAAAGUCCUGAUUAUUAGUUCUGGGUCCCUGGCAAUGACUGUUGGGUACAAACUGCAAAGCUUUGUUCUACAGGUAGGGCUGGGCUUUUCAUUGACCAUGGGUUGGAAUAGUUCUGUGGGCAUAGUGUGUCUCCAAAGCCACUAUGUUUUCUGCUGUUGUGACUAUAGAGCACCUUGAUAGCUCAGUUGGUAGAGCGGUGCACUGUAAGAUGCUCCUUGUGUGAAACGCUGUGAUCCUAAUGUCGCUGGUUCAACUCCAGCUCCAAGCACCUCCUUGUCAUUGGAAAUACCCCCAAGCCUUGUCUUUAUCUGUCAACCCCUUUCAAAAUGUAAAAACACAAACAAGAUAACUCUUUCUUAAAUUUUCAACCAUCAAUUUUUUAUUCACCCAGCCUAAAAGUCCUGAUUAUUAGUUCUGGGUCCCUGGCAAUGACUGUUGGUUACAAACUGCAAAGCUUUGUUCUACAGGUAGGGCUGGGCUUUUCAUUGACCAUGGGUUGGAAUAGUUCUGUGGGCAAAGUGUGUCUCCAAAGCCACUAUGUUUUCUGCUGUUGUGACUACAGAGCACCUUGAUAGCUCAGUUGGUAGAGCGGUCGACUGUAAGAUGCUCCUUGUGUGAAACGCUGUGAUCCCAAGGUCGCUUGUUCAACUCCAGCUCCAAGCACCUCCUUGUCAUUGGAAAUACCCCCAAGCCUUGUCUUUAUCUGUCAACUCCUCCAAAAUGUAAAAACACAAACAAGAUAACUCUUUCUUAAAUUUUCAACCAUCAAUUUUUUAUUCACCCAGCCUAAAACUCCUGAUUAUUAGUUCUGGGUCCCUGGCAAUGACUGUUGGUUACAAACUGCAAAGCUUUGUUCUACAGGUAGGGCUGGGCUUUUCAUUGACCAUGGGUUGGAAUAGUUCUGUGGGCAUAGUGUGUCUCCAAAGCCACUAUGUUUUCUGCUGUUCUGACUAGAGCGCACCUUGAUAGCUCAGUUGGUAGAGCAGUGGACUGUAAGAUGCUCCUUGUGUGAAAAGCUGUGAUCCUAAGGUCGCUGUUUCAACUCCAGCUCCAAGCACCUCCUUGUCAUUGGAAAUACCCCCAAGCCUUGUCUUUAUCUGUCAACUCCUCCAAAAUGUAAAAACACAAACAAGAUAACUCUUUCUUAAAUUUUCCAUCAACAAUUUUUUAUUCACCCAGCCUAAACGUCCUGAUUAUUAGUUCUGGGUCCCUGGCAAUGACGGUUGGGUACAAACUGCAAAGCUUUGUUCUACAGGUAGGGCUGGGCUUUUCAUUGACCAUGGGUUGGAAUAGUUCUGUGGGCAUAGUGUGUCUCCAAAGCCACUAUGUUUUCUGCUGUUGUGACUAGAGAGCACCUUGAUAGCUCAGUUGGUAGAGCGGUCGACUGUAAGAUGCUCCUUGUGUGAAAAACUGUGAUCCUAAUGUCGCUGGUUCAACUCCAGCUCCAA